rnacentral:rRNA from 1 species
GCCAGCCCGCUCAGAAACUUAAGGAAGUUGACGGGGCCCGCACAAGCGGUGGAGCAUGUGGUUUAAUUCGAUGAUACGCGAGGAACCUUACCUGGGCUUAAAUGUAUGUUGACGUAUUCUGAAAGGGAUACUUCUUCGGACAAUAUACAAGGUGCUGCAUGGUUGUCGUCAGCUCGUGCCGUGAGGUGUCGGGUUAAGUCCCAUAACGAGCGCAACCCCUAUCAUUAGUUGCCAUCAGGUCAAGCUGGGGACUCUAAUGAAACUGCCUACGCAAGUAGUGAGGAAGGUGGGGAUGACGUCAAAUCAGCACGGCCCUUACGUCCAGGGCUACACACGUGCUACAAUGGCCGGUACAAAGGGCAGCUACCUGGUGACAGGAUGCUAAUCUCAAAAGCCGGUCUCAGUUCGGAUCGGAGUCUGCAACCCGACUCCAUGAAGUUGGAAUCGCUAGUAAUCGCGCAUCAGCAUGGCGCGGUGAAUACGUUCCCGGGCCUU